rnacentral:tRNA from 1 species
GCUCGAAUGAAACCGCAAGUCACAUGACUUAAAAUCCUGUUCCCGUAAACGGAGUGCGGGUUCGAUUCCCGCUCUGAGUA